rnacentral:lncRNA from 1 species
UGGGUCUUUCCCAUUCUGUUCUUGUGAUAGUGAAUAAGUCUCACGAGAUCUGAUGAUUUUAAAAACAGGAGUUUCCCUGCACAAGCUCUCUUCUCUUGUCUGCUGCCAUGUAAGACGUGACUUUCACCUUCCACCAUCAUUGUGAGGCCUCCCCAGCCACAUAGAACUGUAUUAAAAGUGUGUGGCACUUUCCCCUUCACACUCGCUCUCUCCUGCCACUGUGUGAAGAGGUGCUUGUUUCCCCUUUUCCUUGACUUGUUGAAUGAUUGUAACCAAAAUGGUGAUAGUGUUAUGGACAGUGAAGUCCAGGCUGAGGAGGUCUUAGAUGGAGAUGAGGAACUUAUUGGGAACUGCAGUAAAGGUCACUCUUGCUAUGCUUGCAGAGAGACUGGCAGCAUUGUGCCUCUGCUCUAGAGAUCUGUGGAACUUUGAACUUGAGACAGAUGAUUUUGGGUAUCUGGAAAAAGAAAUGCCAUUCUCCUGCCUCAGCCACCUGAGUAGCUGGGACUACAGGCGCCUGCCACCAUGCCUGGCUACUUUUUUUAUUUUGUAUUUUUAGUAGAGACGGGGUUUCACCAUGUUAGCCAGGAUGGUCUCGAUUUCCUGACCUCGAAUUCACCAGCAUAUACAACAGUACAAACAGGCUGCUUCUUCCAAAUGAAUUUGUAUGCACACAUUCCUCUAAAUACCCAUUAUCACGAUGAGUGAUUAUUCCUUUAAAAAAUAAGAUGGGAAGACUCUUUCAUACUCUUUCAUAGUCUUUUUAUAGACUCAUAAAAAGACUAUAUAAGGAUAUUCAUCAUAAUGUGUCUAGUUACAGUGAGGAGUUGGAGGUUACACUGGGAAAUCAUGAAGAGAAAAUGGCAGAUGCGCACCACAGAAGCAACACAUUUGAUGCACAUAGAACAAUGUGGGUAAAUCUGAAAGGCAUUGUGUUGCUUUUAGAGUUGUCCUAUUUCCUUGCUUUUUCAUGUUUCUUGUGUUUUUAUAUUGAUAUUUGUACGGGUAGUGUAACAGUCAUUUCUUCCAAUAGUUUAAAUUUGUUUUUGUAGGGGAUAACUUUUUCCUUAUAAUGUAUCUAUGGAUAGGAAAAUACUUAUUUUGUUCAGGGAAUGUAUUCUUUUCACCCUUUCCCCUUGAGGCUUGAAUUUGCUUUUUCAUCUUUAUAAAAAUCUGAUAAAUUAUCAAAAUAAAAUAGGCAUUAACCAAGAAUUCCCUUUCUAGGAAAUGAUUCCAAAAAUUAAUCAGAUGCAAAAAGUGAUGUAUGUUCAAGGAUGUUUUGAUCUCUUGCUUCCUUUCUCUGCAAACCUGUGAUCUCUGCACAAGUCAGUUUCCCUUCACCUUCCACCAUGAGUAGAAACAGCCUGAGGCCUUCACCAGAUGCAGAUGCCCAAUCUCAAACUUUUUCAGCCAUCGAAACUACUAGCCAAGACUCAGGCUCCAAGUUUAGGCAUUACCAUAUUUUUCAUUCACUCAACAAAGUUUUUUAAAUAAACUCUAUGGGGAAGUUACCAUAAAAUAUGCCAUGAAGACUCUUUCUGCCUAAAGAUAAUUGUUACUAGUUAUAAAAGUCAUAAAAGCUGUUUAUUGAGGGAGGUAUAAAGUCUUGAAUAAGAUAGUCUACCCAGAUCUUCUUUAGGGGAUUGUACUCUAAUAUAGUACAAAUAAGUGCUAUAACUGAGUUAGCAGAGAACCUUAUUUCUCAUUAAAUUUUAUAUUUUAGAGUGCUUGGGUUUAUGAUGUUUCUUUAGAUUCCUUGGACUUUCUCUGGCAGGCAAUUUGUUACUUAAAUAUUACUUUCAUUUUUUUCAAGAUUUGUCUUUAAGCUCAUUUCAGGCUUAAAUGACUGCCUUUCCCCACAAGUAUCCACCAGGGAUACUGGUCUGUAGUUUCCUUUUCUUGUAAUGUCUUUAUAUCAGGGUAAUGCUGGCCUCACAGAAUACAUUUGCAAGUGUUCUGUCCUCUUUGAUUUCUUGACAUGUUGGUGGCUUAAGAGUGUGUUAAUUAAUUUCCACAUAUUUUUAGGUUUUCCAUUUUUCCUUCUUGCUAUAAUUUUUAGUUUUAUCCCAUUGUGAUUGGAAAUGACUUUGGAUUGAGACAAAGCACAGUAUAGUAGCUAAUUCAGGCUCUGGAAGCUGAUUGUCUUGAUUCCAGGUAUGGCUCUACUACUUAGAGAGGGUGACCUUGGGCAAGGUAUUUAACCUCUCCAGGUCACUGUUUGCUCACCUAUAAAAUAAGUAAAAUAACAAUACCUCAGAGAAUUGGUGUGAAGUAACAUACAAAGUGUUUAUUACAUUUUGAUCUGUCGCACUUAUCUUCUAUACAAUUUUGUUUAUUCAUUUAUCUAUUGUGUUUAUUCUCUGUCUCUUUUCCCUAAACCAUAAACCAUGUGGGCAGGGAUUUUGUCUGCUUUGUGUAAGCACAAGGGAUUGUUGCCAAAGUGCAGCCUGGUUCACAGGAAUACACAGACACAAAGCCUCAUGGUAACAAGCACAAACAUUUUGCCUGGCCUUGUCUCCUCUGUGUAUCUCCUUGUGGGAUACCUGGAAUAUCAGGAGUGGACUAUCUGUCCAAGUCAUUUCUCUUUAUUUCACUUUGCCCCAAAUAAAAUUAAUAAUCAUACAUUGCUGAAUUUUAAAAAGGCUUAUGUUGUGUGUUCAGCUAUAACCAUUCAUAACACCUAUUUAUGGGAAAAAGAAAAAUGAAAAAAAUGCUAUUUAGCACAUAGUCAAGAAGGUAACCAUUAUCUUGAUGAGACCUGGCUGUAAUAUUAAGACAAAGAAGCCAAAUAAUUGUCUUGAUUUUCAAGGCUACAGUAGCCAAAACAACAUGGUACUGGUACAAAAACAGACACAUAGACCAAUGUAAGAAAAUUUUGUUAUUGUGUGACUUAUAACUAAAAAUAAUUCUUAUACUUUGGAAAUGCCAAAAUAAUCACAAUUCAGAACUCUUCCUCAAAUAGGUAUAUAUAUAUAGGUCAAUAUUUGAAUUAAAGCAAAUACUUUAAAAUACACCAAUAUAUAGAUGGAUUACCUACAUAAAUUUCGGAGAUUUUUCCCUGGAGCUGGGGCAGGGGUAAUCUUCCAAGGAACAUGUGGAAUUCUGCAGCAAGAGCCAUCACAUACAGCCUGGGGAGGUUGUCCAUAACCUAACUCCAGAGCCUACCAUUUACAGAGACCCUGGGAUGAAGGGUAACCCCUGGAGUUGUGCUGUGCCCCAUCUGCAUCUAUAUAUGGAGGCCCUCUCUGUAGCUAGCCCUCAGAUCCUAAAAAAUCUAGCUGAGAAGUUGUAAGGGCUGUCACCUGAAUCUAAAAGAUUUGCCGAAGUUCUUAAGCAAAAAUGUGAAGCUGAUCCAGCCAAAUGCCAAACAGCUGCUUUAUACAUACAAUUAAGCCAAAAAACAACAGACGCUGGCAAGGCUGCAGAGAAGAGGGAAAGCUUAUACACUGCUGGUGGGAAUGUAAAUAAGUUCAGCCAGUGUGGAAAGCAGUUUGGAGAUUUCUCAAAGAACUAAAAAUAGAACAUUAUUUACCAAGUGCUCGAUGGCUUAUGGGGUCACCUACCUUGUUCUAUACUUCUAGAAAAAAAUGCAGCAAGUUCUCCCAGGCCUGGAAUCAUUCAUUCCUGUUCAUUAAUAUUGUCCUAACCAUGCAGUGCUCCCCUCUAUGUGUCCAUGUGUUCUCAUCAUUUAGCUCCCAUUUAUAAGUGAGAGCAUGUGGUAUUUGGUUUUGUUUCUGCAUUAGUUUGCUAAAGAUGAUGGCCUCCAGCUCCAUCCAUGUCCCCGCAAAGGACAUACAUCUUUUACUUACUGUGCCCAGAUAUUCUGGUAUAUUAUGGGGAGUUGUGAAGUAGCAUUUCUCCUUGAGGGGUGUUUUGAGAGCUGCGUCGGCCUAAGUAUUCUGUGACUCUUCCCCUCCUGUGAUCUAUGGUUACCCUCAUAUUCUAUGAGCAAACUAAGAGCUGGGGGCAUUUAGCAACUUGCCCAAAGUCAUGCUGAUAGUUAGUGACAAAAAUGGGACAAAAACUCGGCUCUCUGGACCUUGGAUUCAGUGAUCUUUGCAUUAUUGUUAUGUUACUCAGGGCCAGCCUUGGUCACAUGCUCUUGAAAUCUUUGUAUCUGUCUCCUGUCAUCACCUUUGGGAACUUCAACGGUUUCUCCUCACCUCUUCAUCUUUAUCUCAGGAAACUCUUCCCCAAGUUAAUAAUCCAGACACACCAGUCUCCAACAAAUAACACAUGGAAAUUGAAGUGGCCUGAAACCUAAGUCGUAGUCAUUGACAACUAAGGUUUACUGAGUGCUGCCUGAACUCAGUCAUUCUCAUUUUCUAAGCCAGCGCAUCAAUCUCAUGUGUAUGGGAGAUACCGAAAUAAAGGACCUAAGCCUUUAAGGAAUUUGGGAUAUACCUGGGAAGAAAAACUAUAUUCAUAAAAUCAUCAGAAUGUCUCUCAUUUGAAAUUCCUGGCCCCAAUCUAAUUAGGUGCUUCUAGAUCUUUCCUCCUCUUAGACACCUUGCUCUUAGGAGAUACAUACUCAAGUAUGUAGAACAGGAAGAGUCUAAUAUUUGCAACUUACUUACAAAUGAUUGGGGGAAUAUAUACAAAGAGUGCACAAAUGUAUCACAAAUGUGAUAAAAUGUCAACAGUCAAUAAAUGUAGGUAAAGGAUAUAAGGGUUUUUAUAUUUUAUAUUGUUUUAUGGGACUUGGAGAUUAAAAUGAUUUUUGGUUGACAUCGUGUCGGCUUCCUAUUUGAAUCAGUCCAGAAUGAAGCUGAAUAGAAUUAUAGGGGAAAAAAUGAAUGACCAUUACUGGCAGUAAAACAACCAGGCUUUGCCAAUAACAUUUUAAACACAUAUACAUACACUUUACACCCCCUCCAAAUUUUUUAUUGGUUAUGUCCACAUAGACUGAAAGUUC